UACAGAGGUGGCAAGCGUUGUUCGGAAUUACUGGGCGUAAAGGGUGCGUAGGCGGCUUGGUCAGUCCCGUGUGAAAUCCCUCGGCUCAACUGAGGAACUGCACGGGAAACUGCCUGGCUUGAGUUCGGGAGAGGGAAGCGGAAUUCCGGGUGUAGCGGUGAAAUGCGUAGAUAUCCGGAGGAACACCGGUGGCGAAGGCGGCUUCCUGGACCGACACUGACGCUGAGGAGCGAAAGCCAGGGGAGCAAACGGG
rnacentral:rRNA from 1 species